GCGGGAGUAGCUCAGUGGUAGAGCGUCAGCCUUCCAAGCUGAGGGCCGCGGGUUCGAAUCCCGUUUCCCGCU
rnacentral:tRNA from 2 species